rnacentral:lncRNA from 1 species
AUUACAAACACUGAUUAGACAUAUUUUGCUGUUUGGACAUAAUGAGACCGUCUUCCUUUCAUGCCACGCUUAACCAGAGGUAUGUGAGUGUUUCUGUCAGAACUUUACAGUGUGAAAACAAAAGGAGUCCCUCAGGAUAGCAACGUUGCACAACCACAUCAUGCAGAAUGACAAGAAACUAUCUGCCCUGUAGAGCAGACAUGGUCACAUCAUUAUCACUAGGUGGCUCUUCCUCCGUUACCCUUAUGUGGAAAUAUGCUGGAUGCUUAGGUUCAGGCAGGGCCAUAAUUUCGCUGCUUAACAUCGCAGCCACACCCGUUGUGGUGGGUCUGUCAACCGCAUUCUCUUGCACACAGAGCAGUGCGAUGUUGAUGCACCUCAUCGUCUCUAACACAUCAGACUCUGAAACUAUUGAUUCAUCGACGAACUCAAGCCAUCUUUCCUCUUUCCACAACUUCCAUGCCUUGCAGGAGUUUAGAUACAUAUAUUAAAUAUAGGUCAUUAGAUAAACAAAGCGAAUUUACAUAUUAGAUACAAGAAAAUACUUACAUAUCCAAGAAGGUUGAAGAAGUCCCCAAAUUGAUGAAAACAUGAGUUCCUUUUUCCAUGGAUGAUCUCAAGAAUUAGCACACCAAAGCUGAAUACAUCAGAUUUGAUCGAGAAGAGACCCUCCGAAGCAUACUCGGGAGCCAUGUACCCACUGAAAAUAUAGGGGGGAAAUAAACUUCUAUUUCAGCUUUUUGUAUAUGGCUGACUUGUGCAGGAUGGACUAAUUUGUAAGAAGAGCUUACUAUGUCCCAGCAAUCCUUUUUGUGUUCCCUUCGGUAUCAUUUGAGCUGAAUAUUUUUGCAAGCCCAAAAUCUGAUAUUUUAGGAUUCAUUUCACCGUCCAAAAGAAUGUUGCUUGCUUUAAGAUCUCUAUGUAUGACCCGUAACCGAGAGUGCUUAUGCAAAUAUAGAAGUCCUUGUGCUAUCCCUUCGAUAAUCGCUUUUCUUUUGUUCCAUUCCAAUAAAGCCUUUUUAGUUUCAUCUGCACACAAGUUAAUGAUAUAUGUAUAUUAGAUGGGGAGGAAGGUUCUGGGGAUAAUUUUAGCAGAUAGAGUUAACCCAUAAUCUGUAACAGAAAACUACAAGGAGUAAUACCAAAGAUAAAGAAAUCCAAGCUUUUAUUUGCCAAAUAUUCAUAGAUUAAUAUUUUCUCUUCUCCUUGAGAGCAACAUCCCAAUAGCCUAACCAAAUUUGUGUGCUGGAGCUUGGCUAUGAGUUGGACUUCAUUUUUAAACUCUGUGAAACCCUGCCCAGACUGCGAAGCUAGUCUCUUAAUUGCUAUUUCCAAACCUCCAGGAAGCUGGCCCUGUGGAGGUUUAAAAGAGCUUGAUCAGUGAUAUCAUCUUGCGAAAUAGAAGCGGUUUACUCAUCUUCUGAUCAGUAACCCCCCAUGCUUGUGAGUAAAAUUAAAGCUACAUGUAUAAAAUCCACUAGGUCGUACAAAUUAGCUAUCGAUGCAAACUAGGUUCGAUUUUUGUUCUCUUUGUGUACAUGGAUAAAUGUGUUCUUUUACCUUGUAUACUGGGCCAAAGCCACCUUGCCCCAAUUUAUUUUCAUCUGAGAAGUUACUCGUAGCAUCUGAUAGUUGUGAAAAGUUAAAAAGCUUGAGCUCUGAACUCCUCCCUAUCCCCCAGACUAACUCUUCAUCUUCCUGAGAGCUCACUUUACCAAAAUUCGAAAAUCAGAGUUUAUGUAAUCCUUUCAGGUAAGCGAAUAUAUAUGAAUCUAAACAGCCUAAGAAAUUUGUGAGUACAGCAACAUUUCCAUAACUAACCUUUAAUGUUCCUUUUGACUAGUUUAAACCAUACAAUGAAGCACAAAAAUGAUGCUAGUAGAAGCAUAGCAGUGGUAAUGAUCCAUACCUUUAUUAUAUGCCCUAAAACGAAAGAUUUCACACAAACAUAGGUGGUUAGUUGAUUAGACAAAUCAACCAAUGUAACUACACAAUAAACUUUGGUAUUUAUGUUUUGAGGAAUAUCCUAACAUAUUAUAAUCUCUUGCUGCAAAAGUUCACUUUUCAACCUUAAGAUCUGAAACCAGUUGUUUUUAACCUUGAAAGAUUGAAUCUGUUCACUGUAGCCCUUUGGCCCUAUCCCAAGCGGUUUUGAGCUGAUUUGGAUGACAUGUGGUAGACAUGUAGCAUCACUUCUGCACGGCAGCCCUUUGCCAUGUUUGCAGCUUAAGUGAAGAGAAAAGAAAAACCGAAACAUUUCCAAAAAAAAUGCAAAAAACCAAGGAAAACAGAAAACAGAAGAGAUGGGAAUUUACGUAUAGAGGUACAACACGUGUCUUCUGAGACAGCUAAAACAACUUGGAACAGGGCCAAUGGGGUAAACUGAACGGAUUCAACAGUUCAAGGUUGAGCACAACCGGUUUUGGAUGUUAAGGGAAAUACAAAUUUUUGUAAUAGUUUAGUGUUGAAAAAUGGGCAUUUUCUGUAUGUUAUUAAGAAUAUUUAAACAUAUAAUAUAGUCUAAGGCUGCAUCGCAAGCAUGGUUGUUGAAUUAAAGCGUUGAUCAAAGGGUAGCAGUCACCCCACCCAGGUGAAUUAAUUAUGUCUUUCAGAAUCAUCAAAAUUGAUUUGCGGUCAUUAGAUCUAGAGACUUAGAUCUAUAUUGAAAGGUGCUCUGUACCCAUAACCCCGCUCAUUGUUCCAGCACAAAUCUACUCGUCAGCUGGGUUCCCAUCAGACUCAAGCAUCGAGUUAAAUGAAGUUUUGGAAUAGCUAGUCAGUCUAAUGAUGCUUGAGUCUGAUGGGCACCAAGUUUGUAUUCAUAAGGAUGCUGCAGUAUAGUCAAUUUCUGUGUCAUAAAGAUGUGAUAGGAUCUCAUAAUAUGAAUACAAACAGAUAUAAAAUAUGGGGAAAGUGCCCUUUAGAAGAAGGAAAAAGGAAGACAGACUAGUUUUAGGGAAAGAAAUAACAUAUUGUCUUACUCUUAUCUUUCUGCCUUGGAACACCAACCGGCCCUGGCGCCGGCAUGUUUGUUGUUGGAUCUACAACAUCUGACCAGCCGGUCUUCUUCGUGGGCUGGUCAUUGUAGAACUGAUACGUGCUGUACCUAAAAUUGCACCACACACCAGCAAUCCAUUCACCAUGUUGCUCGUGGAAGGAACCCCUUGCUACGCUCCUGAUAUUGUCGAGGCAAUCCCAGCAGUCAUUCGGUCGUAGGUCCAGGUUGCACUGCGCCAUAGAGUAGAGCAGCGGGAGUCCGUGGGAGACAUCCAGGCGGCCGGUGGCAUACAUCAUUGUAGAGUUGUAGGCUGCCUGUUUGGCUGUCUCUUGGAGCAGCACCUUGAUGUUGCCAUCAAUGGUGGCGUCGGUGAAGUUGGCGAUCCCAGAGAACUGAUUGCUGGCAUCUGUAGUGUCCUUAAGAAUCAGCAACCUGCGUAGCACCAAACUGGAGUUGUAGACAAGGUCCUCGGUGGAGACGUGGACGAUGCAGUCCCAAUACAAGAAAUGCAUGUCCAUUUGCGAUCCGCAGAGCCGCCAAGCAUCAUGGAACGCGGUGGUGAUGCAGCUGGAGCAUGCAGAUGCUGUGGCGUCGCCGGGGCACUGUGUGACACCAUAAAUUCGGUCUUGGUCGGUUCCGACGAAGCCCUUGGCCUGUAUGGUUCUUGUCGAUGAGGCAUUCGUGGAUAGCACAGUAGAUAGGAGCUCAAGGUUAGCUUGGUAGGUGCUAUUAUAGGGGACGCUGGUGUAGCAGAUCUGAUCCAGUGGAUCGCCGGCGGCGAUGAAUGGCUCGAAGCCGAGAAUGAGCAGUAAGACGAUGAACAUGGCUAACCAAAAGGUUAUUCAGCCCAACCUCUGUAGCAGCUCCUUAUUAUCAGCAUCAUUUGGGAAACUUUUCCAGCUUAUGGUUUGACUGCUUACUUGAUUAGUGAUUAAUGAUAACAUCAGCCUGCAGGCCGUGCACGUAGAAUACAAUGAUGCUGCCGUCCAGGCAUCAUCGGUAUGUGUAAUCAAAAUUAGUUGGAAUACAAGUGAUGCCAGGCAAGUGGAGUACACAAUGUAGAUGUAGAAGAAGGAACAAAUCCAGUUUCAGUGUUUCAGUCAAAGGAGAAGAGGUCUUCUUAUUGCGACCUUGAACGAGCAGCGAAGUCGAAGAUGAUUCUGUUGCGACUGUUUGGUAAGCUGUGGGCUAUCUGUUAGAAGCUGGAUCCAGAAAUAUUGUUUCUUAUACGGAACCGGUUUGAAAAUUAUGUAAGCUCCUUUCAUGCUGGUAUUUGUCAUGACAUUGAAGAUCUCAAGUAUGUAAACUUGGUUGGAAUAUUUUUUAUUAUGUAAUGUUGUUUGUAAACCAAGUUCGAUAUCUCGACAGUUUGUUAACUAAGUUUCAACGGGUAUCUUUUUUUUUUGGAGAGCAUCAUUUGUUGUUCAUUGGUUGGUUGGUUUCUACUGAACUCUGUGGAUGGACCUGAAACAAUGAUGCUGUGGGUGGGUUUUUUAGAGAGGCUGAGCCCAUCGGCAAAAGUGACACAAAAUGAGGUGUUGGUCGAAGCUGAAAGCUGAAAGUAGAAGUGCAAUGUGGCUUGUUGUCGGCUUUCAUAACAUCAAAAUCCUAAUGCUAUUUUUGAAUGGGCCUGAUGCCAUUCCACAUGGCCAGUAUGGCCUGUUCUUUUUUUCUGCACAAUACAUGUACAGAAGCAG